rnacentral:lncRNA from 1 species
GUUAAAUUGUUGUAUCUGCAUCCAAUAUUGUGAGCUGUUGUUGUACCUUUCUGGUCAUGUGCAAGCGCUAGCUCCUAAUGAACAAGACAAGAACAAACAUUGGGGUGUCUUUAGCAUCAUAAAUGAUGAAAAAAAAACAACUGAAUCUACAAAGGCGUGGCGCAUAAACUAGGCAUUCACAAUAGUUAUUUCUUAAAGCAUGAUGGAUGUGGUUAGAAAAAAAUCUCCUAACUUUAGUGAUUUCCCAUUGCUAUCUUAAGUACACAGUCCUCAAAUAUUUCUUCUAAUGAUUAUGACCAUUCUAUUGCCUAAGUAAAUACAUACCAACAUGUGUAGUUUACUUGGGUUGUCUCAUACAUAUCUCAAACAGGUCCCUUGGAAAUCUCUCCCCUUCACUCCCCUCCUUUCCCAUUCCCCCAUUGUUCAUUAUUGACUUCAAUGUUGUGAAUCUUGUGAUAGAUGUCUAGAAUAACUAGACAAAUAGUUGGAGAAAUGACUACGUUGUAUGUAGUGUAGAAGGUGCACCAAUUGUCAGAGUACGGGGAAAUAGAGAACCAGGUAAGAUGGCCUGAUAUGUUCAGCAUUGAAUAGGGAGGUCCUAGAAAGAGCUGUUUGAUUCUUUCUCAAAUGGCCCAGAAAGGUAGUUUCUAUGGUAAGACACAUGAGAAUUGUAAGAAUCCAUUUUGGUUAAGCUUGCAAUAAUGCUUGAGGUAGCCGAUACUAGGAAAUGAUUUGUGACCAAACAUUGAUAAAGUUGAACAGGGCUUGAUGGUAAUUGUGAUUGUUAUCAUGUUGACUUUCAGCAAAUAACAGCCCCUUGUCACUUAAAUUUCUUCCUCAAUCUGAAUUUCUAAAAUAACAUAUAAUCCUAUUUUAUGAAAGUACGGAACAUUAUUGCAUGCGAUUACCCUAGUGACGCUUCGGAAACUUGCAGGGUUCCCAUAGAAAUCAUGCGUGCGCAUCAUCAUCUAUAAGUUAGUAAACUGAUUUGGAUGAUCAGCAUUGACUGGGCCUUUAUAAUCAAUAGUUGCUUCUAUUUUGAGUAAAGCAAGAAUCUCUCUGUUGGGGGAAGCAUUUCCGCGGGCCAUACGCUUAAACGAUGCUUAUUGGAUUGGCUGACUCACUGGCA